rnacentral:lncRNA from 12 species
GAAGAAUGUAUAUAAAGCUCUGAAAACCAUGCCUUUGCAUAUGGUGGAAAUGUAAGUACUGAUGUACGUAAACAAAAUGGUCAUGCAAAAGCAACCAGCUCAAUCCUGGGAUUGUGCUUUGAUAGCACUCA